GACGUAGGGCGCGAGCGUUGUCCGGAUUUAUUGGGCGUAAAGAGCUCGUAGGCGGCUCGUUGCGUCAACCGUGAAAACCCGGGGCUCAACCCCGGGCCUGCAGUCGAUACGGGCGGACUAGAGUUCGGCAGGGGAGACUGGAAUUCCUGGUGUAGCGGUGAAAUGCGCAGAUAUCAGGAGGAACACCGGUGGCGAAGGCGGCUCAGCUGGCUCGUUUCUGACGCUCAGGCGCGACAGCGUGGGGAUCAAACAGG
rnacentral:rRNA from 1 species